UACGUAGGGCGCAAGCGUUGUCCGGAAUUAUUGGGCGUAAAGAGCUCGUAGGCGGUUUGUCACGUCUGCUGUGAAAUCCCGAGGCUCAACCUCGGGCCUGCAGUGGGUACGGGCAGACUGGAGUGCGGUAGGGGAGAAUGGAAUUCCUGGUGUAGCGGUGAAAUGCGCAGAUAUCAGGAGGAACACCGGUGGCGAAGGCGGGACUCUGGGCCGAUACUGACGCUGAGGAGCGAAAGCGUGGGGAGCAAACAGG
rnacentral:rRNA from 1 species